rnacentral:rRNA from 1 species
CCCGUUACCCGGGUUGCGGACAGUGUCUGGUGGGUAGUUUGACUGGGGCGGUCUCCUCCUAAAGAGUAACGGAGGAGCACGAAGGUUGGCUAAUCCUGGUCGGACAUCAGGAGGUUAGUGCAAUGGCAUAAGCCAGCUUGACUGCGAGCGUGACGGCGCGAGCAGGUGCGAAAGCAGGUCAUAGUGAUCCGGUGGUUCUGAAUGGAAGGGCCAUCGCUCAACGGAUAAAAGGUACUCCGGGGAUAACAGGCUGAUACCGCCCAAGAGUUCAUAUCGACGGCGGUGUUUGGCACCUCGAUGUCGGCUCAUCACAUCCUGGGGCUGAAGUAGGUCCCAAGGGUAUGGCUGUUCGCCAUUUAAAGUGGUACGCGAGCUGGGUUUAGAACGUCGUGAGACAGUUCGGUCCCUAUCUGCCGUGGGCGCUGGAGAACUGAGGGGGGCUGCUCCUAGUACGAGAGGACCGGAGUGGACGCAUCACUGGUGUUCGGGUUGUCAUGCCAAUGGCACUGCCCGGUAGCUAAAUGCGGAAGAGAUAAGUGCUGAAAGCAUCUAAGCACGAAACUUGCCCCGAGAUGAGUUCUCCCUGAGACUUAGAGUCUCCUGAAGGAACGUUGAAGACGACGACGUUGAUAGGCCGGGUGUGUAAGCGCAGCGAUGCGUUGAGCUAACCGGUACUAAUGAACCGUGAGGCUUAACCUUACA